rnacentral:rRNA from 1 species
UCAGGUGGGACCACCGCGCUACUGCCGCCAGGCAAAUUCUGUUAUCAGACCGUUUUUACGUUCUGAUGUAAUCUGAAUCAGUGCUGAAAAUCGUCUCUCAUCCGCNNNNNNNNNNNNNNNNNNNNGAAUCAGUGCUGAAAAUCGUCUCUCAUCCGCCAAAACAUCUUCGGCGUUGUAAGGUUAAGCCUCACGGUUCAUUAGUACCGGUUAGCUCAACGCAUCGCUGCGCUUACACACCCGGCCUAUCAACGUCGUCGUCUUCAACGUUCCUUCAGGAGACCUAAAGUCUCAGGGAGAACUCAUCUCGGGGCAAGUUUCGUGCUUAGAUGCUUUCAGCACUUAUCUCUUCCGCAUUUAGCUACCGGGCAGUGCCAUUGGCAUGACAACCCGAACACCAGUGAUGCGUCCACUCCGGUCCUCUCGUACUAGGAGCAGCCCCCCUCAGUUCUCCAGCGCCCACGGCAGAUAGGGACCGAACUGUCUCACGACGUUCUAAACCCAGCUCGCGUACCACUUUAAAUGGCGAACAGCCAUACCCUUGGGACCUACUUCAGCCCCAGGAUGUGAUGAGCCGACAUCGAGGUGCCAAACACCGCCGUCGAUAUGAACUCUUGGGCGGUAUCAGCCUGUUAUCCCCGGAGUACCUUUUAUCCGUUGAGCGAUGGCCCUUCCAUUCAGAACCACCGGAUCACUAUGACCUGCUUUCGCACCUGCUCGCGCCGUCACGCUCGCAGUCAAGCUGGCUUAUGCCAUUGCACUAACCUCCUGAUGUCCGACCAGGAUUAGCCAACCUUCGUGCUCCUCCGUUACUCUUUAGGAGGAGACCGCCCCAGUCAAACUACCCNNNNNNNNNNNNNNNNNNNNCCAGACACUGUCCGCAACCCGGGUAACGGGUCCACGUUAGAACAUCAAACAUUAAAGGGUGGUAUUUCAAGGUCGGCUCCAUGCAGACUGGCGUCCACACUUCAAAGCCUCCCACCUAUCCUACACAUCAAGGCUCAAUGUUCAGUGUCAAGCUAUAGUAAAGGUUCACGGGGUCUUUCCGUCUUGCCGCGGGUACACUGCAUCUUCACAGCGAGUUCAAUUUCACUGAGUCUCGGGUGGAGACAGCCUGGCCAUCAUUACGCCAUUCGUGCAGGUCGGAACUUACCCGACAAGGAAUUUCGCUACCUUAGGACCGUUAUAGUUACGGCCGCCGUUUACCGGGGCUUCGAUCAGGAGCUUCGCUUGCGCUGACCCCAUCAAUUAACCUUCCGGCACCGGGCAGGCGUCACACCGUAUACGUCCACUUUCGUGUUUGCACAGUGCUGUGUUUUUAAUAAACAGUUGCAGCCAGCUGGUAUCUUCGACUGACUUCAGCUCCAUGAGUAAAUCACUUCACCUACGUGUCAGCGUGCCUUCUCCCGAAGUUACGGCACCAUUUUGCCUAGUUCCUUCACCCGAGUUCUCUCAAGCGCCUUGGUAUUCUCUACCUGACCACCUGUGUCGGUUUGGGGUACGAUUUGAUGUUACCUGAUGCUUAGAGGCUUUUCCUGGAAGCAGGGCAUUUGUUGCUUCAGCACCGUAGUGCCUCGUCGUCACGCCUCAGUGUUAAAGUGAACCGGAUUUACCUGGAACACACACCUACACGCUUAAACCGGGACAACCGUCGCCCGGCCAACAUAGCCUUCUCCGU